CAACCCUCAAGCUCUGCUUGGUGUUGGGGCACAGCCUUUCAUAGGGCUGGCCCUGAAAUCCAGUGGCGGGCUCGCUAAGACUCCGAGCGUAGUAAUUUUCUCUUCGCUAUGGAAGGACUGGCGGUGCUCUUGCCGUAAAGCCCCCCAAUUUUUUACU
rnacentral:misc_RNA from 1 species